UACGAAGGGGGCUAGCGUUGUUCGGAUUUACUGGGCGUAAAGGGCGCGUAGGCGGUGCGAUAAGUCAGGCGUGAAAGCCCCGGGCUCAACCCGGGAAUAGCGCUUGAUACUGUUGCGCUUGAAUCCAGGAGAGGAUGGCGGAAUUCCCAGUGUAGAGGUGAAAUUCGUAGAUAUUGGGAAGAACACCAGUGGCGAAGGCGGCUAUCUGGACGGUUUCUGACGCUA
rnacentral:rRNA from 1 species